GGGCCGCCGCCCCCUCUGACACCACCUGGCGCUCCGCUCCAUUUAGGAGCUAGAACGAAAAGGAGGCCCAUCCCCCAGUAAGUCACAGCCCACGCCAAGAUGAGUUCUGGAGCCUGUGCGACCGAAGUUUCUUCACCGCAGGGCGAGGUGGACAAGGGUGUGAGUUACUUUGACUUCAAGACGUCUCAGUGGCGGCUGGUUCUGGAGAGAGGCUUUAUGCUGGAGCACUUCCAGCAAAGUUCGGCUGGGGCCUCCUUAACUCACUGGCUGGUCACCCUUGGCCUCGGUUUUCAACCAAAGCCUAAGGCCUCAGUUUUCAACGCUGUAAAUGGAAAUAAAUGAGAGAAGAAAGUACAGCCCGUGUGACAAGUGCAGCAAGCAAUGCAACUUCCUUGGGACCUACCCUUUGUGGUCCCUUGCUUUAAAAGUAUAGAUUCACAUUUAGUUAGACCUGUUUCUUCCUCGCAUGCAAUUUCACCAGUCUUUUCCCAGACUUCUGUACUCAACAGAGGAAGUUCCUUCCUGGGAGACCAUAGCUGUUUGUAUGUAAAGAGUUGCGAAAAAACAAAAGCAAAACAAAAAACUCCAACACCUCUCUGUCACAGAAGUAUUGAAUUAUAUAGACUGGAAAAAUGGAAGUAUCCAAGAAAACGCGUGUGAAGAAACUGUUAGAGCACCCUGGGAUGUGUGGGCCUGGGACUGUUUGCCUUUGGCACGGCUAUGCUCCGAGCUUUGGAGGAGCCAAGGAAGAAAGGCCUAGUUCCUGAUCUUAAGGCCUUUGCAGUGUGCAUUGGGAGACAUAGACUGCAAUGAAAAGAUCAUUAUUGCAAGAGACAAAUGGCAUGGAGCCACAUUCCCAGAGACAGAGUUUCACCAUGUUGCCCAGGCUGGUCUCAAACUCCUGAGCUCAAACCAUCACCCACCUCGGCUUCCCAAAGUGCUGGGAUUACAGGCGUGAGCCACCACAUCUGACCGCGGGAGUCCUUUUACCCAAAGCCACCCAACAGACCCACGCAGAGACUUUUAACCAGCAAUCGUCUCAGUUCCCUCUGAGGCUGCCGGCUCUCCCUGUGACAGCAGCCCAUCUUAGCCCUUCCUGUGUAUCUCUGCUGCCUAAAGGAUGAGAGUUUCCUAAAGUGUAGAACUGUGAGGGGUGGAGGGACAUUCCUCUCAUGCUGGCCUGAAUCCUGCACCUACUCUGGAGGUCUUUUGCCUUGUACCAUGGAGUUCGCCUACAUCACCUUGGAGAACCGACCCAGCACCUUCCAGGCCGGCUGGAUGCAUCCCCAGGAAGGAAGCCGCUGGUGGGGCCGGUCGCACUGAGUGCGCUUGGAGAACAAAGUGCUGUGUACAUUUCUGCUCAACACUACUCUAAGCCCACAGCGCCAGUUCAGAGGCUUUGGGAAGAGCAGGUGCCUUCAUCCAGUUUCCACUGUACCUCUUCUGAGGUACAGGAGAUAGAGGUCCCUCAUUUCAAGGUGACACUGGCAUCAGUCAAGCACAGAGCUAACCAACUGCCAAUCGUAAACAAGGAAGCCAGUGAGGACGCCCAAGGAAAGGCUCAGAAAGCUUCCGCCAGGGAGUGGGAUUU
ensembl:lncRNA novel transcript